AUGUUGUCUUUGGACUAUUAUGCACUUUCUUUACUGAUUCUCACCAUUCUAACAGGUGUCAGCUGUGAAGAUCUCACUCCAACCAACAAAGAAGUGUUCAGUGUAGAAGGCAGCACAGUUACUCUGUCCUAUAGAUACUCCAAAAAGGCAGCUGGAAGUGACGAGUUUUACUGGUAUCGACAAUAUCCUGGAAAACCACCAGAGUUCCUGAUCUCUCAUUUACUAUCCGGAGAAAUAAUGAAAGAAGAAAUCUCUGGACUGUCUGUUAGUGUGAGGGAAGAUAAAACACUGAUGACUCUUCAGAUCUCCUCUGCUGCAGUGACAGACUUUGCUGUGUACUACUGUGCUGUGAGGCCCGCAGUGACAGGAAACACCAAAACUCUGUACAAAAACCUUUGGAGCAAAGACAACAGAAUACUCCACAACAUCCACUAGAGGGAGCCACACACUGUUAAACCUCUGUAGCUAUAAUUCACUUGUUAAAUGUGCCUAUGCCAAGAGGCACACUUAUUAGUAUUCGUCGGAUUUAUUAUUAUUAUUCUUCUUAUUAUUAUUCUUCAGUUUCCGCCUGAAAUUUUGCAGCGUAACUCACCCCGCAGUUUUGAGACAAGCUUCAUAUAUGUUACCUCAUUUUGUGCUGCUGGAUCUGGAAUGGUGUGCUAUGACUUUUGAAUAUUUAGCUUUUAUUAAAUACAGGGUGGGCCAUUUAUAUGGAUACAGCGUAAUAAAAUGGGAAUGGUUGGUGAUAUUAAAGUCCUGUUUGUGGCACAUUAGUAUAUGUGAGGGGGCAAACUCCUCAAGAUGGGCGGUGACCAUGGUGGCCAUUUAGAAGUCGGCCAUCUUGGAUACAACUUUUGUUUUUUCAAUAGGAAGAGGGCCAUGUGACACAUCAAAGUUAUUGGUAAUGUCACAAGAAGAACAAUGGUGUGCUUGGUUUCAACGUAACUUUAGUCUUUCAUGAGUUAUUUACAAGUUUCUCUUUGUUCACAGCCAUUGACAUGUCGAAGAGGUUAACACGUGAGGAGCGGAUCGAAAUUGUGUUGAUAUCUGUUGAACGCAGUAACCGGCAGAUUUCAAUGCAAGACACCCUACGAGACCACCCAUCUCCCAUGCUACAGUUAGCAAACUGCUUGCUAAGUUUCGUGAAACUGGUUCAGUGUUGGAUUUGCCAAAAUGUGGACGCAAGAAAACUGUCACUAAUGAAGAAACAUCAGUAGCUGUCCUAGCUUCAUUCAGCAAGAGCC
rnacentral:lncRNA from 1 species